rnacentral:lncRNA from 1 species
GGGGCGUGGGAAGUUUGGCCUGGGACAGAUUUCUCUGUCUCUGCGAUCUUCCUGGUAAACUAGGCUCUUCAACUGGGCUCAUUAACGAUCUCUGGGCUGACUGCUGUUCUGGGCUUGAAAACGAACGUAGCUGAUCCGAAGCACCGAAACUGUAAUGAUUUUCGAGUAUUCUAAAAAAAAUUAAAUGAUUUUCGAGUUUUAAUAAAGUUAUUACAUGUAUUCUAAAUAAAAAAUCAAUGCCAUCCCCUCACUAAAAAAAAUCAAUGCCGCCCCCUCCUCUGAAAAAUAAGAGAAAAAUCAAUCCCAUCCCCAGUUUCUCAACAAAGAAGAAUCACCCCUAAAAAAAAUCAAUGCCCGUCCCCAUGCUGCCCCCUUAAAAAACUUCUCGGUCAACCAAAACGGUGCGCCAGUACCAGGGUCCUGUUUGUUCGGGGAGACAUGCUUCUCAGCUAGAAACACCAAAAGCACGUCCGGAGGUGCUUAUCAGCUUCAUGUGUAAACAGGAAAAGUGCUUUUGAAAUUGCUAAAAACACUAAAAGCUGAAACAGAAGUCCAAACAAACAGGUCCCUACCCGAGAUGCUGCUUCUAUGCUGAAAUUCAGACCCAAUUAACAAGAGCCUGCGCGACGUGUAGACAAAGAACCUCAGAUAUGCUUAAAGCAGACUGAUUGCGAGAUUCCUUGCAGAUGGAGACCUGUUCCGUUUCAUUUUCAGGGUGUUUAAUUUCGGCCACACGCAGUAAUUGGCUUUUCGUCUUUCACUUUCGGCGCGAGUCGGAAGCUUGAAAACCACCACCCUGGAUCCGUACAGCCUACCUGCUGGCUGCUGGUCGCCGGCCGGCGGUACUGCAUACUUGGCGGCGGUGACUAAUUAAGCACAAAAUGAUCAGGG